rnacentral:misc_RNA from 1 species
GUUCGAAUCCUCUUUAGGAGACCA